ensembl:lncRNA
GACACGCCGGACCGCACGGGGGCAAGUGAUUUAACGCCUAAUUAACACGGAUAGCGCGAAAAGGACCCAAACACGGAGACCCAUCGUUCCGAGGAGGGGGAGUUAGCUGACCUUGGGUGAGACAAGAUUGGAUGGAACAGCCUUUGGGGAUCUUUGCUUUGGACCGAGCUUGAUUCAGUGACUUGAUGCCGUUUUUUGAGUUUCCUGUAAAAGGUGUCAUCUGUGGGAUAUUACAUGAUUACCUUGGAUCUGGUACAUCAAUAACAUUGGCUCGGAUAUUUCUCGGAGUUGAGCUCAAGCGGUUCCAGUUUCGGCUCUUAAGAGUUUAGAUUCUCUCCAAGAG